GUGGAGUGAGGGAGGAGGUGGAUGGUGAGUGUAGAGAAGAGAAGGUCUCUCUCUGUUGUCACCCUCGGCCCCCUUCAUUGAGGAGGAACAAUGGCCAGGCCUGGAGUUCUUCCUGAAAGAGAAACUGCAGGAAGGCAGAGUUGCUCUUUGUACCCCAGCCCCUUUAGAGGAGGGGGAGUCAUACAUAGGAUCCCCCUGACCAUUGGGCGGUGUCCGGGAGAUCAGAACCCCUCAGAUACUCUGGGAGCUAAAAAGGCGCCGGCCUUGUCCUCCCAGAAGGCCUACGCAGCCGCUGAAAGAAACCCAAGCAAAACCCAGCGACCUCAAAAUUCGCCAGGGGAUAAGGGGGAGAGGAAAACCACUCACUCUCACAUGCCCUGUCAGUCCCCCCACGCCACCAUCCCAAUGUCUGAUCAGGCUUGAUUCUGCUGACGUGUGUAUUUCAGAUUAAGGAUGUAUUUAUUUAUUUAUUUAUUAAUCCUUCAGAUCUUCCCACCCCAUAAAAGAGACUUAAUUCCUUUCCAGGGCGACGGGUUGAUAAAAAGACUCCAUUUUAAAGCAAUGGGGGAUCAUAUGACUGUGACCUUGACGUGCGAAAGGGGGGAGGGGCAGGUAGUUUGGGGCCCAGACCUUAGGCUUCUGCAAUUCUGGGGCGUUCUAGGCUCUUGAUAAGAACAUCAACAAGAGGGAUUUAUUUUCAAAGGUUACCAUUAGCAGUUCAUUCACUAAAGUUGAGAAUUCGGUAUUUUUAUAUUACGUGAAAUACAUGAUUUAAUUAUACUCCAAAAACAAAUUAAGGACAGGCCUUCUACACAAAUUGGAGGCAGCUAAAUGCUCUUUUGUGCCUGCAGCCCUCGGGUUGUUAAAGAGGCUGCUGAUGCAUGAGAAGUUACAAGAUUCUUGUUUUCGUUCCUUCUCACCGGUGGAAAAUGUGUAAAAUCAAAGAUGUAGAGGUGUGUAGUGAUUUUUUCAAAAGCCAACUAACCCACCGCACGGGCUGCGACGCGGAUUACCCGAGCGCACGCCGGCUGGGCGCAUUCUGGGGUCUCUGCGCAAGACCAGCUCUCAGCUCUCUCUCCUUUCCUCGGACUCUGGAGCGGGAGCGGGCCUUUCCCUCGGGCCGACCACGCCGUAGGGGACGCCAUGAAAAGAGCCGUCGCGCCCGCUGCCUCCUGCCCGCUGCGCAGAGGGCUCCGCCCGUAGAGCAAACUCGUAGCCAGACCAGAUGGGCCGCCCAGCUCUCUCGGGACUAGGCAGUUUGAUGCCCAUUACAAAUUUUCCUGCUAUGAAAGAAAUUCUAUGUGCGGCAGUUUUGCAAUAAAACAACCCAGGCUUCGCAAUUGGAGAACUUCGGUGCGGCGUGCCGUGGGAGUCCUUUGACAAUCUCAACUUUCAUCUAGGUCUGAAAUUAAAGCUUCUCGGAAUAAUUUAGGAACAGCUUGACCCGUUGAGACACUCAAGGACAACCCUCCAGGGAAAUAGUAUAUUUCCUUCCUGGGAACAAGAUGCUAGCGCGGUGCACCGGGAGGUAUCCGGUGUCAACAAUGCCAGAACGCCCUCUGCUGCCUCAAAGAGGUAGGACAUCAGUUACAAAAGCCAGAUGGCACAGUGGCAAUAAGCGGAGGAAACAUUAAGCUCUUAGAAACGUUUAUCUGUGAAAUGUAAAAGCGCUCAUCACAUUCUACUUUUGAAAGGGCCACCUGAUUUUGAUUUUGAGCACUCCUUGGAUGCUAUCUUCUAUUCUGGAGGAUAAUGAAAAAUCCGUGUUUUGAAAUUUUCAGAUUAUUUCUGUAGUUAUAUUUCUCCACCCUUUCUCGAAUUUUAUAUGGAAAUACGAAGUUGCAAGUCGAAGUGAAAAACCUUUGUGUAAACAG
rnacentral:lncRNA from 1 species